UGCUCUUCUUGGAUGAGUUGCGAACGGGUGAGUAACGCGUAGGUAACCUGCCUUGUAGCGGGGGAUAACUAUUGGAAACGAUAGCUAAUACCGCAUAACAAUGGAUGACACAUGUCAUUUAUUUGAAAGGGGCAAUUGCUCCACUACAAGAUGGACCUGCGUUGUAUUAGCUAGUAGGUGAGGUAAUGGCUCACCUAGGCGACGAUACAUAGCCGACCUGAGAGGGUGAUCGGCCACACUGGGACUGAGACACGGCCCAGACUCCUACGGGAGGCAGCAGUAGGGAAUCUUCGGCAAUGGGGGCAACCCUGACCGAGCAACGCCGCGUGAGUGAAGAAGGUUUUCGGAUCGUAAAGCUCUGUUGUAAGUCAAGAACGGGUGUGAGAGUGGAAAGUUCACACUGUGACGGUAGCUUACCAGAAAGGGACGGCUAACUACGUGCCAGCAGCCGCGGUAAUACGUAGGUCCCGAGCGUUGUCCGGAUUUAUUGGGCGUAAAGCGAGCGCAGGCGGUUUGAUAAGUCUGAAGUUAAAGGCUGUGGCUCAACCAUAGUUCGCUUUGGAAACUGUCAAACUUGAGUGCAGAAGGGGAGAGUGGAAUUCCAUGUGUAGCGGUGAAAUGCGUAGAUAUAUGGAGGAACACCGGUGGCGAAAGCGGCUCUCUGGUCUGUAACUGACGCUGAGGCUCGAAAGCGUGGGGAGCGAACAGGAUUAGAUACCCUGGUAGUCCACGCCGUAAACGAUGAGUGCUAGGUGUUGGAUCCUUUCCGGGAUUCAGUGCCGCAGCUAACGCAUUAAGCACUCCGCCUGGGGAGUACGACCGCAAGGUUGAAACUCAAAGGAAUUGACGGGGGCCCGCACAAGCGGUGGAGCAUGUGGUUUAAUUCGAAGCAACGCGAAGAACCUUACCAGGUCUUGACAUCCCGAUGCUAUUUCUAGAGAUAGAAAGUUACUUCGGUACAUCGGUGACAGGUGGUGCAUGGUUGUCGUCAGCUCGUGUCGUGAGAUGUUGGGUUAAGUCCCGCAACGAGCGCAACCCCUAUUGUUAGUUGCCAUCAUUCAGUUGGGCACUCUAGCGAGACUGCCGGUAAUAAACCGGAGGAAGGUGGGGAUGACGUCAAAUCAUCAUGCCCCUUAUGACCUGGGCUACACACGUGCUACAAUGGUUGGUACAACGAGUUGCGAGUCGGUGACGGCGAGCUAAUCUCUUAAAGCCAAUCUCAGUUCGGAUUGUAGGCUGCAACUCGCCUACAUGAAGUCGGAAUCGCUAGUAAUCGCGGAUCAGCACGCCGCGGUGAAUACGUUCCCGGGCCUUGUACACACCGCCCGUCACACCACGAGAGUUUGUAACACCCGAAGUCGGUGAGGUAAC
rnacentral:rRNA from 1 species